AAACAGAGAACCACCCAGAGCCUGCAAAAGCAGAAGCACAUGCACACAGCAAGAGGUGAGACAGUAACCAGGAACAGACUGUUAAUCUGAUGCUGAAGAGCAGCACAAAAGCAUAGGGAAUUGGUGACAUUCAUCCAGGAUCUCCAGCAGAUGGCCAACCAUACUCACUCUUCAAGGACUAAUUGACUCCAUGGCUACAGUGGUACUCCAAGAUGGACAGGGACUAGAUACUCUUACAGCUUGAAAAGGUGGCCUUUGCCUCUUCCUCCAAAAGGAAUGUGUCAUCUAUGUCAUCCAAUCAGGUUGAAUAUAAAACAAAAUCCAGCUACUACAAACAGACCUCCAAAAAUGUAAGCACUGACUCCAGCCUCCAGCCUCUCUGCUCUUAAGAACCCCAUAUGGAAGUGAAUACUUUCCUUCCUGAUGCCUCUCAAUCUCAUUUUUCUGCUUUCAAUAAUUGUACCCUGCUUUAUUGAUGUUUUCUCUAUGUUCCUCCAAUGAAUUAAAACAUCUCUAAUCAA